AAGAAAAGAAAAGAAAAGAAAAGAGCACAUUAAUGUUAAACUUUGUUAGGGACAUCCAUGCUUUGCUUGUUUUCUUUCUUAACUUUUUGAUCUUCAACAUGAUUUCCAUUAUUGUUGGGUUGCGGAACCACUACUGUUGUUAUCUCGGUUGCACUCAGCUUUGCAACGUCUACGAUGUGCUCAUAAAAUUCGCAAAUUUUUGGCUCCUUUACUGAUACUUUCUUGGUGUCCCUGUAGAUUAAAUAAAGCACCAUCUGGAUAAUACCAAAGAGAAAUCCCAAUGUAUUUGGAAUCUGUUCAUGAGAAGAAAAAUAAAUUGUAAGUGAUAGUUAAUUAAAGGGAAAGAAAUAGUUUCUGGUUGAUAAUUGAUAGGAAAGAAACAUUAUUAAAGGAACAGGUCGGUGGAAUAAAGAAAGAUGUACGCGAUGCAUGUACACAUGGUUAACUUACUGUAACAUAAAGGUCUUUCUUUAGAAAACCAUAGAAGAACCACAUCACUGCUGAUAAGGUGAGGAAGAAUGAUAAAGAAAAGGGCAUGAACUCUACGCUCUUGGUUUUUAUCACUUUCCUCAUGAUAGCCAGAGGUGCGACAAAUACGCAUAAAGCAAAUAUCAUACAAAUCCAUCCAAGAACAUCAACACGUUUUCGGCCAUGUGUUAGGAAGAGAGUUAAGAUACAGAUCAUUCCGAAUCCAAAAACAUUGAAGAAGAGGAUAAGUUUUGCAGUGAACAUCCUGUCCUUCUUUGUGGCAUAGAUAAGGUACACACUAAGGUAGCCAGUCUCCAUGAAGAAUGUAAAGGAGUUAAUGGUGAUGAGAAGGGUGGAAUCGUCAUCAAAAAUUGCAUAGAACAACCAGAGCAUAGCACUAAACAGUGCAAUUAUAUAUGGAAUAGACUGGAAACCUUCACUUGUUUUCUUCUUGCAAAUUUGGUAAAAAGUUGGCAGAGGAGCAACGCAAACCAUGGCGGAGAUGAUGUUAGCUAAAACACCGAAAAUGAAAUCCCAUGACAAGUGCAAGGCCAUCUCUCUAGCUAUACUAGCAACUCUUUAUCUCCCAAGCUGCCGUUAUCUCAAGAGGAAAUUAACUCUAGCUUUGUUGAGCAAUGAGAGAGGGGUAAGAAGCAUUUUAUAGAGGGG
rnacentral:misc_RNA from 1 species